rnacentral:lncRNA from 1 species
CCUGCACGGUCACCCUUUAUGUGAAAGGAAAGGUCAAGGUGACACUAACAGUAUGAUUCGUAUAGAAUCUGUGCUAAUUCAGACACUGGUGUUAAGUUUUCUAUGCCUGGAAAAAGAUAUUUGAUGAAUAUUUCUUCUUAGGAUGAAGCAUGCACGAGAUCUGCAACGUUAGUUGUGGUGCACAUUGCGAAGGGAUGCUAAGUGCUUCCAUGGCAGGAGCUUUCCCGCCCUGAGUUUCUCUGAGGGAGUGGUGACAGUGGUACCGGAAGGGUGUACAGAAAUUCUGCAGGAGGAAAGGAAGGGAAGGGCAUUUUGAGCAGAGGGAACAGCAUGAGGGAGAGCUCUGCUCCAGGGAGCCUGGAAUUUCAGCUUUCUGGUUCUGAACCAUUUAGACAAACGCCUCGAGCACAGGGAGACACAGGGAAGGAGUGAGCAAGACGUGUGUGUGUGUGUGUGUGGCAGGCCAGGACGACACAGACACAUUCACUGUGAACAAAAUAGAUGGGGACCGGACUGGACGCAAAGGCUGUUGCAGACUUUGAAGAAAUGAUGGUGACGGGGCCAAGGGAGGCAGUUGAGGAAGAAGCAAGGACGGGCAUUGAGCCAACAGUGAGCCCCUCUGAACAAUGAGAUCUUACUCUCCACGAAGAACGCUUUAUUACCAGUAAAUCAGACAAACAGCAACCUCUGAGUGCAUGUUGUACAAGAGCCACAACAUGUAAUUGUAAAGG